AUGGAUCCAAGCUAUCACAGGAGGUCACAGAUGGAGGAUGAAUUCAUGUUAUUUGUCUUCCCUACCAUGGAAGAAGGAAGGGAGAAAAAACCAAUGCAUACAUCUAGUCUUACAGGAGCUGCUUAUGUCCAGGAAAUCUUAAAUGGGCAUGAAAGCUUAUGCAGAAGGCAUUUCAGAAUGGAGGCUUACAUCUUUCAUGCUCUAGUUGAGAAGCUGCGUGAGAAUGAAAUACUUGAAGAUUCUACAAUAGUCUCCUUGGAAGAAAAGGUUGCCAUAUUUUUAUAUGCAGUUGCAAAAAAUGCUAGUAAUGAAACCUUGCAGGAUAGGUUCCAGCACAGUGGGCAAACCAUCAGUCGACACUUUGGAGAUGUACUAGAGGCAAUUACAAAGCUUGCAAGCAUCUAUAUACGCCCACCUUCUCUUCGACCACAUCCAGUCUUGAGGAGAUCACAUUUCCAUCCCUACUUCAAUGAUUGCAUUGGUGCUAUUGAUGGUACACAUAUUCCAAUGACUAUCUCACCACAUGAACAAGAGCCAUAUCGAAACAGAAAGCAAACAAUCACACAAAAUGUUAUGGUUGCAUGUGACUUUGAUUUGAGGUUUGUGCAUGUGCAUCCUGGCUGGGAAGGAUCAGCCUCGGAUGCAAGGGUUCUCCAAGAUGCACUUAACCAUGGAUUUCAGGUACCUCAUGGUAAAUAUUAUCUUGUAGAUGCGGGCUAUGCAAACACACCACAGUUUCUUGCCCCAUACCGUGGAACUAGAUACCAUUUGCAAGAACAAGCACAAGUACGUCAAAGGCCGCGGAAUCGUAGAGAACUAUUCAACCUUCGCCAUGCACAAUUACGGAAUCAUAUAGGGAGAAUUAUUGGCAUAGUGAAAAAGAGAUUUCCAGUUCUGAAAGUUGCUACACACUAUUCCCUCGGCAAACAAGUUGACAUAUCAAUGGCAUGUUGUGUCCUACAUAAUUUCAUUCGGCUUCAUGAUGGAGAUGUCUCAUGGCUCAACAAUGACACUCCAAAUAUUGACCCACAUCUAAUUGUGGACGUGCCCACGGGAGAUGAAAACUACACUAGUGAUGUUGGAGCAUUCAAUAACACAAGAGAAGCAGGAAACCACCUACGGGAUUAUAUAGCAGAUAAACUGUGGGAGGACUAUAUUGCAAGAAGAGCUUGA
rnacentral:rRNA from 1 species